rnacentral:rRNA from 1 species
GACGAACGCUGGCGGCGUGCCUAAUACAUGCAAGUCGAACGAGAGCGACCGGUGCUUGCACUGGUCAAUCUAGUGGCGAACGGGUGAGUAACACGUGGGUAACCUGCCCAUCAGAGGGGGAUAACAUCCGGAAACGGAUGCUAAAACCGCAUAGGUCUUCGAGCCGCAUGGCUUGAAGAGGAAAAGAGGCGCAAGCUUCUGCUGAUGGAUGGACCCGCGGUGCAUUAGCUAGUUGGUGAGGUAACGGCUCACCAAGGCCGUGAUGCAUAGCCGACCUGAGAGGGUGAUCGGCCACAUUGGGACUGAGACACGGCCCAGACUCCUACGGGAGGCAGCAGUAGGGAAUCUUCCGCAAUGGACGCAAGUCUGACGGAGCAACGCCGCGUGAGUGAAGAAGGUUUUCGGAUCGUAAAACUCUGUUGUUAGAGAAGAACAAGUGCUAGAGUAACUGUUAGCGCCUUGACGGUAUCUAACCAGAAAGCCACGGCUAACUACAUG